CGGCGGACGGGUGAGUAAUACUUAGGAAUCUACCUAGUAGUGGGGGAUAGCUCGGGGAAACUCGAAUUAAUACCGCAUACGACCUACGGGAGAAAGGGGGCAACUUGUUGCUCUCGCUAUUAGAUGAGCCUAAGUCGGAUUAGCUAGAUGGUGGGGUAAAGGCCUACCAUGGCGACGAUCUGUAGCUGGUCUGAGAGGAUGAUCAGCCACACCGGGACUGAGACACGGCCCGGACUCCUACGGGAGGCAGCAGUGGGGAAUAUUGGACAAUGGGGGCAACCCUGAUCCAGCCAUGCCGCGUGUGUGAAGAAGGCCUUUUGGUUGUAAAGCACUUUAAGCAGUGAAGAAGACUCUAUGGUUAAUACCCAUGGACGAUGACAUUAGCUGCAGAAUAAGCACCGGCUAACUCUGUGCCAGCAGCCGCGGUAAUACAGAGGGUGCAAGCGUUAAUCGGAAUUACUGGGCGUAAAGCGAGCGUAGGUGGCUUGAUAAGUCAGAUGUGAAAGCCCCGGGCUUAACCUGGGAACGGCAUCUGAUACUGUUAGGCUAGAGUAGGUGAGAGGAAGGUAGAAUUCCAGGUGUAGCGGUGAAAUGCGUAGAGAUCUGGAGGAAUACCGAUGGCGAAGGCAGCCUUCUGGCAUCAUACUGACACUGAGGUUCGAAAGCGUGGGUAGCAAGCAGGAUUAGAUACCCUGGUAGUCCACGCCGUAAACGAUGUCUACUAGUCGUUGGGUCCCUUGAGGACUUAGUGACGCAGCUAACGCAAUAAGUAGACCGCCUGGGGAGUACGGCCGCAAGGUUAAAACUCAAAUGAAUUGACGGGGGCCCGCACAAGCGGUGGAGCAUGUGGUUUAAUUCGAUGCAACGCGAAGAACCUUACCUGGUCUUGA
rnacentral:rRNA from 1 species